rnacentral:rRNA from 1 species
GUGUCAGCCGCCGCGGUAAUACGGAGGGUGCAAGCGUUAUCCGGAUUCACUGGGUUUAAAGGGUGCGUAGGCGGGCAGGUAAGUCCGUGGUGAAAUCUCCAAGCUUAACUUGGAAACUGCCGUGGAUACUAUUUGUCUUGAAUAUAGUGGAGGUGAGCGGAAUAUGUCAUGUAGCGGUGAAAUGCUUAGAUAUGACAUAGAACACCCAUUGCGAAGGCAGCUCGCUACACUAUUAUUGACGCUGAGGCACGAAAGCGUGGGGAUCAAACAGGAUUAGAAACCCUAGUAGUCC